rnacentral:rRNA from 1 species
AAUGAACGCUGGCGGCAUGCCUAACACAUGCAAGUCGAACGAGACCUUCGGGUCUAGUGGCGCACGGGUGCGUAACGCGUGGGAAUCUGCCCUUGGGUUCGGAAUAACAGUGAGAAAUUACUGCUAAUACCGAAUGAUGACGUAAGUCCAAAGAUUUAUCGCCCAGGAUGAGCCCGCGUAGGAUUAGCUAGUUGGUGAGGUAAAAGCUCACCAAGGCGACGAUCCUAGCUGGUCUGAGAGGACGACCAGCCACACUGGGACUGAGACACGGCCCAGACUCCUACGGGAGGCAGCAGUGGGGAA